GUUAACCAUAGGGUGACGGCCUGAAAAGCAAAGCAACCCUCUUUGCCUUGGUUAGCCGAUCUAAUGAGGGG
rnacentral:sRNA from 1 species